CUAGCAUCCAUUAAUAAAGAGAGGGAGAAAACAAAUGAGACCAAACAUUUACUCAACAAACAAAUAUCAGAAAAUAAUAAGUAAUAAAGAGAAACACACCCAUAUUAAAACUAAAACCAGACUCCAAAAACAAAAGAAAAUUGAGCAGAAAAAACCAAACGACACAACAGUUUCUCUCUUGAAACCCCAAAGUCAUGAAUCCAGUUGAUGGACCUCUCUAAAAACCUACAACGAACUAGCUGCAUGAAUCGACAGUAAAUUUCCUCAGAGAGUGAAGAUUUGGUAUCAUCAUCGGAGUAAAAAUAACAUACUCUGAAACCCAAAUACAAGAAAUCAAUUUAGGUCUUCGAUCACCAAUGGGACCAGUCCACCGUCGUCGUUCGCUCCACCAUCUCCGGUGCCAUAUCUUUAACAACAAUCCAAUUCUCCUCCUCACAAAAAAGGUUGCAUCAUCUUGGCAUUCAUCUCAAUGGAGAUCCUCCUUUCCAAAUUAUCACAAAUUUGUGAAGCAUCCCCUGCUUCGAAAGUCAUGAACAGAUCGUAGAAAUAGACGGUGGCUAGUCUCAUGAUCUCUUCUUCUUCAGAAACCCAUCACCCUUCAUCAUCCUCGAAACCUCUGAUUGCAUUACACUGUUUCCUCUCGUCGCCAUCUUAUGGAAAAAAGUAGUAUUCUGAUCACCAUUAGAAAGCCAAUUGAUGGGCGCCCUUUGCUCCCAAAAAUCUCCUCAUUAUCUGCCUCUAAAUUCAAUCCAAGUUAAAGUUUAGUCAACUCCGUAAAAUAUCAUCAUAUGGAUCUUUCGCAUAUAACUCUUUUAUUCUAUCCUCGAACUUUUUCUUAUGAGCCUUCUAGUCUCACCUAAUUGUAUGACUCCAAGUUAGGAGCUUUUGUCCUAACCCUUCAAGCUAUGAUUGGAAAUUUUCGAAGACUGAUGCCCAAUAAUCUCGUAUUUCAUUCUCACACAAACCCUCCAAGCACCAAUCAGCAUCGAAUCGAAACUUCAUUUUUCCCAUUCUCAUGUCGUAUGUUUCUUCGGCCUCUCGUAUCCACUAAAUUUGGGUAGUGAUCAGAGAUAUCAUGGCUCAAAUGAGCAACAAAAAACUCUAAAAACUGACCCCCACCGCGCCGAGUUUGCAACCCCAUGAUCAAGUCUUUGCUGGAUAUUGGUUGCGACAAAUCUACCUCUCUCCCAAGUGAGCCACCGCACCGUAAAACCCAGAUCACUGAGAUUACAAUCAAGUAACGCAGAGCAAAAUGCUUUCAUAUUUUUCUCUGCAUGAGUACGACUGCCCUUUUCUCGAAAGAGAAAGCAAUCUCGUUGAAGUCCCUCACAACCAGCCAUGGGAGACUUUGGUCCUGGCCCAACUGACAAAGUAGUUCCCAAGUGGUUCCUCUAAAAUGUUCAUCUGGGUGCCCAUAAAAUCUGGUAAAACACCACAACAACUCGUCUUGAUUUUC
rnacentral:lncRNA from 1 species